AUGCUUACCUAGAGGAACCAAUACUGUGAUCAUGAAAGUGGUUUUCCCAGGGUGAGGCCUGUCUGUCUGACUCCAGAUAUGCCCCCCUGCAGUUCUCUGAAGGUGAGACUGGAAACAAAGAAC
rnacentral:snRNA from 1 species